UACGUAGGGUGCAAGCGUUGUCCGGAAUUAUUGGGCGUAAAGAGCUCGUAGGCGGUUUGUUGCGUCGGCUGUGAAAUCCCGAGGCUCAACCUCGGGUCUGCAGUCGAUACGAGCAAACUAGAGUGUUGCAGGGGAGACUGGAAUUCCUGGUGUAGCGGUGAAAAUGCGCAGAUAUCAGGAGGAACACCGGUGGCGAAGGCGGGUCUCUGGGCAACAACUGACGCUGAGGAGCGAAAAGCGUGGGGGAGCGAACAGG
rnacentral:rRNA from 1 species